rnacentral:rRNA from 1 species
AGCGAACGCUGGCGGCAGGCCUAACACAUGCAAGUCGAACGGACCCUUCGGGGUUAGUGGCGGACGGGUGAGUAACACGUGGGAACGUGCCUUUAGGUUCGGAAUAGCUCCUGGAAACGGGUGGUAAUGCCGAAUGUGCCCUUCGGGGGAAAGAUUUAUCGCCUUUAGAGCGGCCCGCGUCUGAUUAGCUAGUUGGUGAGGUAAUGGCUCACCGAGGCGACGAUCAGUAGCUGGUCUGAGAGGAUGACCAGCCACACUGGGAGUGAGACACGGCCCGGACUCCUACGGGAGGCAGCAGUGGGGAAUUUUGCGCAAUGGGCGAAAGCCUGACGCAGCCAUGCCGCGUGAAUGAUGAAGGUCUUAGGAUUGUAAAAUUCUUUCACCGGGGACGAUAAUGACGGUACCCGGAGAAGAAGCCCCGGCUAACUUCGUGCCAGCAGCCGCCGUAA